rnacentral:rRNA from 1 species
UACGGGGGGGGCAAGCGUUGUUCGGAAUUACUGGGCGUAAAGGGCGCGUAGGCGGCUCGAUAAGUCCCGCGUGAAAUCCCCCGGCUCAACUGGGGAACUGCGCGGGAAACUGCCGAGCUUGAGUUCGGGAGAGGGAAGCGGAAUUCCGGGUGUAGCGGUGAAAUGCGUAGAUAUCCGGAGGAAUACCGGUGGCGAAGGCGGCAUCCUGGACCGGCAUUGACGCUGAUCAGCGAAAGCCAGGGGAGCAAACGGG